ACCAAGGUAAGAGUAUUAGUGAGCCGACAUUAGGGCCCUGAAGUAAUGUUCAAUAUAUCUGGUUCCAGGGCCCUAAUGGGAAGAGGGAGAGGUUGGGUUUUAGUGGGUCUGGAUGUACCGGUAUUCGGACAUCAAUCCCACACUCCCCAUUGCAAAGGUUUUUGCAAUGGGCGUCUUUUGAAGAUUUCCCCCUCUCCAC
rfam:Asian citrus Psyllid, Diaphorina citri - Florida Strain, whole genome shotgun sequence.